rnacentral:lncRNA from 1 species
UUGCCCUAAUUACUUUAUUUAUUCAUCCUGUGACUCUUGUUGUUCAAUCAUCCCCUCUCUUUCCAACUAAAUCUUAACCGCAAUAUUGUAUCCACUUUCUCUCCAAACUAUUUGGUUUCUAGCUGAUCCACCACUCUCCAUCUACAUCUAGAUCUCUAUCUAGUAACUUGGUAUUAAUUUGAUCCUUUAUUAUUAUUUUUUAUUUUGUUUUGCAUUUUAUAUUACAAUCAUAUACUCCUACUUCAGUUCCCAUGA